GAUGAACGCUGGCGGCGUGCCUAAUACAUGCAAGUCGAGCGAACAGACGAGGAGCUUGCUCCUCUGACGUUAGCGGCGGACGGGUGAGUAACACGUGGAUAACCUACCUAUAAGACUGGGAUACUUCGGGAAACCGGAGCUAAUACCGGAUAAUAUAUUGAACCGCAUGGUUCAAUAGUGAAAGACGGUUUUGCUGUCACUUAUAGAUGGAUCCGCGCCGCAUUAGCUCGUUGGUAGGGUAACGGCUUACCAAGGCGACGAUCCGUAGCUGGCCUGAGAGGAUGAUCAGCCACACUGGAACUGAGACACGGUCCAGACUCCUACGGGAGGCAGCAGUGGGGAAUAUUGGACAAUGGGCGCAAGCCUGAUCCAGCCAUACCGCGUGGGUGAAGAAGGCCUUCGGGUUGUAAAGCCCUUUUGUUGGGAAAGAAAUCUUUCAGGCUAAUACCCUGGGAGGAUGACGGUACCCAAAGAAUAAGCACCGGCUAACUUCGUG
rnacentral:rRNA from 1 species